rnacentral:rRNA from 1 species
UACGUAGGGUGCUAGCGUUGUUCGGAAUCAUUGGGCGUAAAGCGCGUGUAGGCUGUUAGUUAAGUCGGGUGUGAAAUCCCUGGGCUCAACCGAGGAAGUGCAUUCGAAACUAAUUAGCUAGAAGAUGGUAGAGGAAGGUGGAAUUCCAAGUGUAGAGGUGAAAUUCGUAGAUAUUUGGAGGAAUACCGGUGGCGAAGGCGGCCUUCUGGGCCAUUCUUGACGCUGAGACGCGAAAGCGUGGGUAGCAAACAGG